UCCCCGUUACCGGGGCAGUCUGAUUAGAAAAAUCCAACUAAUCACAAGGGUUGCGCUCGUUGAUGGACUUAACCAAACAUCUCACGACACGAGCUGACGACGGCCAUGCAACACCUGUCACUGAGUUCCGGCUUUCAACACACAAAAGUAUUAAAUAUCUUCAUAUUUAGUUUGUGUACUCAAAGCCGGCACUCACUCCUUUCGGAGUAAUUCUCAGGAUGUCAAGCCCUGGUAAGGUUCUUCGCUUACCAUCGAAUUAAACAACACGCUCCACCGCUUGUGCGGGUCCCCGUCAAUUCCUUUGAGUUUUAGUCUUGCGACCGUACUCCCCAGGCGGAAUACUUAACGCGUUAGCUUCGCUACAUACCGGGUCGAUACGGCAUACAGCUAGUAUUCAUAG
rnacentral:misc_RNA from 1 species